rnacentral:rRNA from 1 species
GAUGAACGCUGGCGGCGUGCCUAAUACAUGCAAGUCGAGCGAACAGACGAGGAGCUUGCUCCUCUGACGUUAGCGGCGGACGGGUGAGUAACACGUGGAUAACCUACCUAUAAGACUGGGAUAACUUCUGGAAACCGGAGCUAAUACCGGAUAAUAUAUUGAACCGCAUGGUUCAAUAGUGAAAGACGGUUUUGCUGUCACUUAUAGAUGGAUCCGCGCCGCAUUAGCUAGUUGGUAAGGUAACGGCUUACCAAGGCAACGAUGCGUAGCCGACCUGAGAGGGUGAACGGCCACACUGGAACUGAGACACGGUCCCGACUCCUACGGGAGGCAGCAGUAGGGAAUCUUCCGCAAUGGGCGAAAGCCUGACGGAGCAACGCCGCGUGAGUGAUGAAGGUCUUCGGAUCGUAAAACUCUGUUAUUAGGGAAGAACAAAUGUGUAAGUAACUAUGCACGUCUUGACGGUACCUAAUCAGAAAGCCACGGCUAACUACGUG